AAACACUAACCAACCUUC
rnacentral:snRNA from 1 species